rnacentral:miRNA from 1 species
ACACUCUCCCUUGUGCUGGCAG